ensembl:snRNA U6 U6 spliceosomal RNA
GUGCUCAAUUUGGCAGCACAUGUACUAACUUUGGAACGAUACAGAGAAGAAGAUCAGCAUGGCCUGACGUGCAAAUUCGUGAAGCGUUCCAUAUUUUA